rnacentral:lncRNA from 1 species
GUGGAGCAUAUGAUCAAGGAGAAAGUUACAGCAUCUUGGAGCAGGUAGCUUCUUGAUGUCAUACAAGAUUACGAAGUGGCUGGCGUUAACAGGUUCAUCAGCUUCUCUUUUUCUCUUUCUUUCCCUAUUUUUCUUUAGCUAAAAGUUCUUAUGGGCUCUGGCAGUGAAGCUGUAAAUGCACUGCUGCUUUGUUCUUCAAAAGAAUGGUAUAGAAUAGCUAACUAUGAGAGAUACUGACUAAGAGGACCUACAAUUCAGCAAACAAAAUAAAGAAAAAAGAAGAGAUCAUUACUGGCGAGUAAGAACAUAUAUGACUUGAAUGAUUAAAUGAUC